UACGGAGGGGGCAAGCGUUGUUCGGAAUUAUUGGGCGUAAAGAGUAUGUAGGCGGCUAUUUAAGUCAGGCGUGUAAGCCCAUGGCUCAACCGUGGAAUUGCGUUUGAAACUAUUUAGCUUGAGUACAGGAGAGGAAGGCGGAAUUCCCAGUGUAGCGGUGAAAUGCAUUGAUAUUGGGAAGAACACCGGUGGCGAAGGCAGCAUCCUGGACCGGUAUUGACGCUGAGGAGCGAAAGCUAGGGUAGCAAACGGG
rnacentral:rRNA from 1 species